UUUUACCUCAGUUUUUGCGCGCGAAAUACAAAUUGAGUGUUACAGUCUUCAGUUAUUUUAUCCUCCGACAUGGGUUUGCCAAAGUAUGCUCUAGUGUAUUUUUUUGAAGAUGAUAUUCCUGCCACCAGUGUAAAUGAGUCCCAAUUAUUUGAAGGACACAAAAACCUUACCACAGAUGAUCCCAUUGAUGGCCAAAUGGUUGUGGUAAACUGGAAAGUGAGGAUUGGGAAAAAGAUGUUUGUUAGGCAGGUGCCCUGCUAAGCCUUUGAAGUUCGAUGAUGAUAAAGCAAAUUUAAUAGUGGCAGAAGAAGCAUAUUUCCUUGGACAGGAAAUUGAGGGUGGAAAGAGGCUGAGGAAGAAGCCAAAGCGAUUAUAUGAUGAUGAAGACGUAUGUCUGAAAAUGCUGUAUGAAUUUAAAUUGAAAUGGAAGUAUUUAAGUGAGGACCAGUCAUAUAGGAUAGAUUGAUGUAUAUAAAUAAAGGUAAUAUAAAGAUA